UGCGGGGUAGAGCAGAGGUAGCUCGCGUGGCUCAUAAUCACGAGGUCGGCAGUUCAAGUCUGCCCCCCGCUACCA
rnacentral:tRNA from 1 species